rnacentral:rRNA from 1 species
UACGUAGGGUGCGAGCGUUAAUCGGAAUUACGGGGCGUAAAGCGUGCGCAGGCGGCUUUGCAAGACAGAUGUGAAAUCCCCGGGCUCAACCUGGGAACUGCAUUUGUGACUGCAAGGCUAGAGUACGGCAGAGGGGGAUGGAAUUCCGCGUGUAGCAGUGAAAUGCGUAGAUAUGCGGAGGAACACCAAUGGCGAAGGCAAUCCCCUGGGCCUGUACUGACGCUCAUGCACGAAAGCGUGGGGAGCAAACAGG